UACGGGGGGGGCAAGCGUUGUUCGGAAUCACUGGGCUUAAAGGGCGCGUAGGCGGCUUGCCAAGUCAGGGGUGAAAUCCUGCAGCUUAACUGUAGAAGGGCCUUUGAUACUGGCGAGCUCGAGGGAGGUAGGGGUAUGUGGAACUUCCGGUGGAGCGGUGAAAUGCGUUGAUAUCGGAAGGAACGCCGGUGGCGAAAGCGACGUACUGGACCUCUUCUGACGCUGAGGCGCGAAAGCUAGGGGAGCAAACGGG
rnacentral:rRNA from 1 species